UAGGGAAUCUUCCGCAAUGGACGCAAGUCUGACGGAGCAACGCCGCGUGAGUGAAGAAGGAUUUCGGUUCGUAAAACUCUGUUGUUAGAGAAGAACAGCGCAUAGAGUAACUGUUAUGCGUGUGACGGUAUCUAACCAGAAAGACACGGCUAACUACGUGCCAGCAGCCGCGGUAAUACGUAGGUGGCAAGCGUUGUCCGGAUUUAUUGGGCGUAAAGCGAGCGCAGGCGGUCAAUUAAGUCUGAUGUGAAAGCCCCCGGCUCAACCGGGGAGGGUCAUUGGAAACUGGUUGACUUGAGUGCAGAAGAGGAGAGUGGAAUUCCAUGUGUAGCGGUGAAAUGCGUAGAUAUAUGGAGGAACACCAGUGGCGAAGGCGACUCUCUGGUCUGUAACUGACGCUGAGGCUCGAAAGCGUGGGGAGCGAACAGG
rnacentral:rRNA from 1 species